AAUCAACGCUGGCGGCGUGCCUAACACAUGCAAGUCGAAUGAGAAAGUGGAGCAAUCCAUGAGUAAAGUGGCGACCGGGUGAGUAACACGUGACUAACCUACCCUGAAGUGGGGAAUAACCUCGGGAAACCGGGGCUAAUACCGCAUAACAUUGCGCGGCUGAAAUGCCAUGCAUUCAAAGGAGCAAUUCGCUUUAGGAGGGGUC
rnacentral:rRNA from 1 species